GAUGAACGCUGGCGGCGUGCCUAAUACAUGCAAGUCGAGCGAACAGACGAGGAGCUUGCUCCUCUGACGUUAGCGGCGGACGGGUGAGUAACACGUGGAUAACCUACCUAUAAGACUGGGAUAACUUCGGGAAACCGGAGCUAAUACCGGAUAAUAUAUUGAACCGCAUGGUUCAAUAGUGAAAGACGGUUUUGCUGUCACUUAUAGAUGGAUCCGCGCCGCAUUAGCUAGUUGGUAAGGUAACGGCUUACCAAGGCAACGAUGCGUAGCCGACCUGAGAGGGGGAUAGGCGGCACUGGAACGGAGACACGGUCAAGACGACUAAGGGAGGCAGCAGUAGGGAAUCGGACGCAAUGGGCGAAAGCAUGACGGAGCAACGCCGAGUGAGUGAUGAAGGUCUUCGGAGCGUAAAAAUCUGUUAUUAGGGAAGAACAAAUGUGGAAGUAAAUAUGCACGGCUUGACGGUACCUAAUCAGAAAGCCACGGCUAACUACGUG
rnacentral:rRNA from 1 species